rnacentral:rRNA from 1 species
AGAGACAGCAGUCGCCGCGGGAAUACAGAGGGUGCGAGCGUUAAUCGGAUUUACUGGGCGUAAAGCGUGCGUAGGCGGCUUUUUAAGUCGGAUGUGAAAUCCCUGAGCUUAACUUAGGAAUUGCAUUCGAUACUGGGAAGCUAGAGUAUGGGAGAGGAUGGUAGAAUUCCAGGUGUAGCGGUGAAAUGCGUAGAGAUCUGGAGGAAUACCGAUGGCGAAGGCAGCCAUCUGGCCUAAUACUGACGCUGAGGUACGAAAGCAUGGGGAGCAAACAGGAUUAGAUACCCCAGUAGUCCCUGUCUCUUAUAC